CCGGGGAAAGAGAGGAUUAGGACUCUGUCCCUGCCCUGGAAGAGCCUGCCUGCUCGUCGGGAAGGCGUUGCCGAUUUUUCCAGAAUCUCUUCAAAGUAAGAAGCAGUGCCAGGUGGAGAUCAUGCUACCCCGGGAGGAUGGGACAAGACCACGUGACCUCUACAGUCUUCUUGCGAACACCCAGAGCCCUGGCCCAACCACGAGAAGAACGGCAGGCCGGCCCCGACUGGAGGACAUCUCACAAAACCUCUGAGCCGAGUCCCCAAAAUGGCCAGAUCAGCAAAUCCAAGGAAUGAUGGAAAAAGCGUCACAACCCCGAGGAGUGAGGAAGCACGGCACGUGUCCCGGACAGGACCCUGGAGCAGGGAAGGGACGGAAAACCUGGUGAAGUCCACAUAAAGUCUAGAAUUCAGUGAAUAA